GCUGAUGUCAAGUUCAUCUUGUGAAGGUAUCGCACAGAAGAGCGUCGACUGAGCCUCUCAUGGCUCAGUCUUCACCUUCAUCUACCUUGGCUCAUUGCCUUGGAGCCAAAGUCCUGGCCGAACAGUCCUUUUGUGAAGCUAUGGCCUUGUCAUUGUCGAGUCAUCUCUUACCUAAGCCAAGAUGGUAGUUGUGCUGUACAAAUCCGCAUGCUCACUCAACGGGCGGACACUUAGUCGAGACUCGGCCAAAAGAUGCUUAUAAGGCCAUAGAAAAAGUUGCGUGCCGCUCUUUGCGCGCUCCCGCGUAUACCUCAGAUGAUUACUAGGUGUGUAUCAGCCGAGGGCAUUGACUUGAAAAGCUAGGCAAUUCGACACCAGAUAAUGUUCGGCUUAGGCACCCAGUCAGGCUUGCUGGGAUGUCUACCGGGCUUGAUGAUGGCAUAAGCAAAGGAAUAUUUUCCACACAAGACGUCACCAGCGUCUCUCGACCCGUUUGGGAGGUCUGACGAAGCUCCUGUCCAAGAAUAUCGCGAUGAUUCACGACAUCGACGAAUUAGCAGUUACAUAUACUACAAGUACAGUAC